UACGGAGGGUGCGAGCGUUGUCCGGAAUCAUUGGGCGUAAAGGGCGCGUAGGUGGCGGGACAAGCGUGCGGUGAAAGCUCGGGGCUCAACCCCGCGUCGGCCGUGCGAACUGUUUUGCUUGAGCACUGUAGAGGCAGGCGGAAUUCCGGGUGUAGCGGUGGAAUGCGUAGAGAUCCGGAAGAGCACCGGUGGCGAAGGCGGCCUGCUGGGCAGUAGCUGACACUGAGGCGCGGACAGCGUGGGGAGCAAACAGG
rnacentral:rRNA from 1 species